UACGAAGGGGGCUAGCGUUGUUCGGAAUUACUGGGCGUAAAGGGCGCGUAGGCGGUGCCUCAAGUCAGGCGUGAAAGCCCCGGGCUCAACCUGGGAACCGCGCUUGAGACUGGCGGACUCGAGUUCGGGAGAGGAUGGUGGAAUUCCCAGUGUAGAGGUGAAAUUCGUAGAUAUUGGGAAGAACACCGAUGGCGAAGGCAGCCAUCUGGACCGACACUGACGCUGAGGCGCGAAAGCGUGGGGAGCAAACAGGG
rnacentral:rRNA from 1 species